CUACGUAGGGAGCGAGCGUUGUCCGGAUUUAUUGGGCGUAAAGGGCUUGUAGGUGGCUUGUCGCGUCUGCCGUGAAAUUCCGCAGCUUAACUGUGGUAGUGCGGUGGGUACGGGCAGGCUUGAGUGUGGUAGGGGAGACUGGAAUUCCUGGUGUAGCGGUGGAAUGCGCAGAUAUCAGGAGGAACACCGGUGGCGAAGGCGGGUCUCUGGGCCAUUACUGACGCUGAGGAGCGAAAGCGUGGGGAGCGAACAGGGUUAGAUACCCUGGUAGUCCACGCUGUAAACGUUGGGAACUAGGUGUGGGGCCUGUCAUGGGUUCUGCGCCGGCGCUAACGCAUUAAGUUCCCCGCCUGGGGAGUACGGCCGCAAGGCUAAA
rnacentral:rRNA from 1 species